AUACGGAGGGUACGAGCGUUGUUCGGAAUCACUGGGCGUAAAGCGCGGGUAGGCGGUCGUGCAAGUCGGUUGUGAAAUCCCGAGGCUCAACCUCGGAACUGCAAUCGAAACUGCUCGACUAGAGUCGCGGAGAGGGUGGCGGAAUUCCCAGUGUAGAGGUGAAAUUCGUAGAUAUUGGGAAGAACACCGGUGGCGAAGGCGGCCAUCUGGACCGGUACUGACGCUGAGGCGCGAAAGCGUGGGGAGCAAACAGGAUUAGAUACCCUAGUAGUCC
rnacentral:rRNA from 1 species